UUGCAACCCUCAAGCCCAGCUUGGUCUUGGGCGUCCGUUCCCCCCGGGGCGCGCCUGGAAAUCAGCGGCGGUGCAGCCCGGCGAUCGAGCGUAGUAACGAACCUCGCCUCGAUUUUCGCCGGAUGUUCCGGCCGGACAAACCACCUUUGUUACCCCCAACGAUUGACCUCGGAUCAGGUAGGGAUACCCGCUGAACUUAA
rnacentral:misc_RNA from 1 species